GACAGAGGAUGCAAGCGUUAUCCGGAAUGAUUGGGCGUAAAGCGUCUGUAGGUGGCUUUUUAAGUCCGCCGUCAAAUCCCAGGGCUCAACCCUGGACAGGCGGUGGAAACUACCAAGCUUGAGUACAGUAGGGGGCGGAGGGAAUUUCCGGUGGAGCGGUGAAAUGCAUAGAUAUCGGGAAGAACACCAACGGCGAAAGCACUCCGCUGGGCUGAUACUGACACUGACAGACGAAAGCUAGGGUAGCGAAAGGG
rnacentral:rRNA from 1 species